CACCAGUGGAGGCUCAGUUGGAAAUACGGAAAUCACCCGUCUUCUGCGUCAAUCUCGCUGGGAGCUGUUCCUAUUCGGCCAUCUUGGAAGCCUCCUGACUCUUUCACAACUUCUCAAUAAAUAAGAGAUGACUGAAUGUCUUUUUAAGUCCAUUUGUCAGGAGCCAGAGGCCUGGACUAGAAACUUCACCUGAUCUCCUGCCCCUCCUUGUGCCAUAGCAAGUCACAGAUUUUUCUAAGAGCAAAUCAACCAAAAGUAAAAAUAGAACCUGUUGAUUUUCCUAAGAGGAAAUCAACCAAAAAUAAAAAUAAAACCUGUUUCUUGAGGUGUUUGACUUAGGAAUUCUUUCCUGGGCCUCAGAAACAUUGGAACUUUCAUUUUUACUCUUCUCACCAGCACCUGUUAGUUUGGAGACAAAGUUAGACUUUAGCUCUUGGAAGCAGGUGAGUGUAACAGUCAAACACAUGGUCCCUGGAGACUAAUUGCUUGGAUUCAAAUCCUAGUCUCGUCGCUUGCUAGCUGUGGGCCCCUGGGCAGUUUGCUCAGCCUCCUUGUGUCUUCAUUCCCUCUUCUGUAAAAUGGGGAUGGUGAUCAAAGUGCCUGUCUCACAAUGUGGCUGUGAGAAUGAAGUUAGCUAAUAGACAUCAAGGUCUUAGAACUCCCUACGUUAGAUUCUGGGACCUCACAUAUAUGCUUCUGUGCCUGGGUUCUGAGCUCAUAGAUGGUGGCAAGGGUUGGAUGAGGAUCUGUGUGAAGCACGUCCUGCCCAUAGCAGGGGCUGGGUAAAAUGGAGCAACAUGUUCUCCUCCUCACACCCUUAUGUAAGCACCUUUUCAAAGCAGCCCCGUGUUUCUUUACCCACUCGUUUCUUUUUCCUCCCAAAGACAAUGAAUUGCUUGCUGAAAGAGCCUUGCCGAGUGCACACACACGUGACAGCAUUCCAUUAAAAAUCUCUUUGCAUAGCUCUAAUGCAGUGAGAGACAUUUGUGAUAGGUUGGAAGGGGAAGCACUGAUUUUGAAAGGAAAAGGGAACAAAGUGCUUUUAUUCCCCGUUGAAUUAAAAAAUACUUCCAAGGCUCCAAUGUCAAAUCUUUUCCUCACUUUCUCCCGCAGCAAUGUGCCAGAAACCCUGACAAUGAACCGCUGUCUCUGACUAAUUGUUCUAGUGGAGAUGUCUCCUGUUUGACUUGAUUUUAAACUGUGGAGCACGUCAAGAGAAAGCUCACUGAUCUGCCGAGGGUUUGUGCUUUUCUGUCUUCAUGCAUCUGUUGUGGGUGAAGAGAGCAAAGAUUCUUCAUUCAAUCAAAGGCCCCCUUUGGAGAUGCUGAGAAGGAAAUUUCCUUUGGAAAUUCCCAAAGGUAGGUUCUUUGGGGAAGUGAGAACUCUGCUGCUUCAACCUUAGCCCAGCCUGCCCUCCUGGUGGGAAAGACCAGCCGUGUCUUGGCUUCCAAAGAACCAGGAGACAGAAGGAAUUUAUGGCUGGAAGCCCAGCAUGGUCGUGUCCCCUGGGCCCAGUUGCUUCCCCUCUGUGGUUUCCAUAUCUAUGUGUUAAGAGAAAGCAUCUGAAACUUUGAAAUAAGGAAGAAGAUGACUGCGUGUCCUUUGAAUGCCACAUUAAAGCACUGUCAGACAGGCCCUGCCCAAUGGCAAUUUAAUUCUUCAGGGCACGGGCCAAAUCUGGCUGCUGCCUGUUUUUGUAAAUAAAGUUCUAUUGGAACACAGCCACACCCAUUCGCGUACAGAUUGUCUGUGCUGCUUUCAUUUUGCAACCACGGCUGCAUUUGAGUGGUUGCAACAGAGACCAUAUGGCCCACAAAGCUGA
rnacentral:lncRNA from 1 species